ACACGCUUCCCCACUGAGGGAAGACCAUGUGACUAUACAACAGGAAGGUAGUUGUUUACAAGCCAGGAAGAGAGCCCUCACCAGAAACCAAAUUGGCUGGCGCCUUGAUCAUGGACUCCUGGGCUCCGGAACUGUAAGAAAAUUUGUGUUGUGGAAGCCACCCAGCCCAUGGUAUUUCGUUAUGGCAGCCUGAGCAGAGGUGGUAGCUAUGUGGACAGUUUUUGGACUUCUCUAUUAGACGGCGUUUCACCAUGUUGCCCAGACUGGUCUCGAACUCCUGGCUUCAAGUGAUCCUCCUGCCUCAACCUCCCAAAGUGCUGGUAUUACAGAUGAGAAAACAGAAGCAAAGGCAGAAAGAUGCUACAUUGCCAGCUUUGAAGAUGGAGGGAAGAGGUCACAAACCAAGGAAGGCAAUGAGGACGUUGCACAAGACAGUCCCUGAUACCCAGAGUUUACUGCCUAAGAGAGGAUACAUCCUUCAAACCAAUAAUCUGCUAAUAGCAAGAUCCAAUAGCUUCAUGGAUAUUGAAAGAAACUGAGAAUCAAAUUUGCAUACUUCUGAGUCACUUGGAAACAAAAAACAAGUACAGUCUUAGAUUCUGAGGGAACAAAAAUUAAAAAUCACAUUAGGAAGAGAAUUCCUAAUGUAGGAACUCAUCCUGGAAGAUUCUUCAGCAAAAGUACAGACAAUAAUAAUAAUACUCCAUGAAGUUACCAUCGAUAUUGAAUGAAUUAAUGAAUGUAAAAACCUCAAAACCCUGCCUGGCCCAGAGCUUUGGAAUGGGUUUGGAUCUACCACUCAACUGCUUUAUGACUUCAGACCAGUUAUUUAAAUUCCCUGAAGCUCAGUUUCCACAUCUUUGAGUUUUUAUUAAUGACCUGCCGACAUCAUACAGUUCAUGAAAUGCUCUGGAUGUGUACAUGCUGAUGAUACGACCUCAGACCCAGCAAGAGCUCAGUGCAGCCCGGAGAGCUGUGAGCAGUGCCACAGGAGGAGAUGACUGGUGAGUGAAAUAAGCAAGAUAGGAGUUGAAGUGUACAUGAAGCAGAGUCCAAGCCUUCUCCUUCUGGAUGUUCAGCUGGAUCAUCCUGACUGCUCCCACUUUCAUCUUGGCUUUCAAAGGGCUAUAUGGAUGUGCUCUACUUGUUGGAGGAUUGUCCAUCCACUCUUCUUCCUGUACUUACCAGGACAGAACAGCCGCAACUUCUCAGACAGUUCAUUCUUCUUUUCCUCACCUACUACCAUCUAAGAAAGGUACUUGAUGACUGUGGCUUUAGACAAGAGUCCUUUUCUUACCACAGGGUGGGCAGCACCAGCUCAUUAGAACCAUUUGUGUGACUGACUGAAGACAGCUCACCUUGGAACACUGCAGGUUGAAGAUCAUCUCUUCUUUUUUUCAUGGUGUUAAGCAUAAUAUGGCGUAAGUGACAUUUUACAAGUUCCAGAGCCUGGGACUCAAGAUGUCUUGGAGAUUCUGUCUUUGCAGUCUUAUAAUGAUGCCCUGAGAUCAUCAUUAAAGAAAGCCAGUCUGGCCUACUGAGGAUGAGAAGCUACAUAAAGGAGAAUGAAGAUUCCCCAGCCAACAGGCAAUAUCAGUGGUCAGAUAUGUGAAUAAAGCCAUGUUGAACCUCUCGGCUAGACGACCCUCCAGCAUAUGAAACCAGCAGAUGAAUAUCCCAGCCUGCCUGAAGAACUGUACAGGAAAUAAGAAAUCAUUGUUUUUUAAGCCACUGGGUUGGUGGGUGGUUUGUUACAUUGAAAUUGUUAACUAAAACAGAAAUUGGUGCAUAGAGGUCAGGUGCUGUCAUAAUAAAAAUCUAAAACAUAUACUGUUGGCUUUGGUGAUGGGAGUGAUUGGUAGCUAAAGAGGCAGUGAAACAAUGAUUAGUAGAUACUGGGAAGUUAAUAAGGAAAUUUCUAUUGGAGGGUGGAGAAAGGGCCACCCUUGUUAUAUAGUGGCCAAAGAAUCAGCAAAAUGUUGCCUGCUGCAACCUGGAAAGUAGAAACUUUUCUUAAACUCACGGAUCUGGCUGGGAGAUUUCCAGGAUGCAUGCAACAAAUGUGAAUCAACUUUGUAUAGCUGUGUAUAAUAAAGUGUGCUGUAUUUGUCCAUUCUGAUGCUGCUAAUAAAGACAUACCUGAGACUGAA
rnacentral:lncRNA from 1 species